UCGUUAAAAUAGAUAUGUCAAAAUAUUUAUUAUUAUUUUUCGUAACUGACUUGUUUUGCUAUGCUUUUUAUUUUUUAUCAUAUAAUUUCCCCAAUAAAUAUACAAUGUCGAACUAUUUAUCAAUAACAGAUAUUUUAGUGACCAAUGAAAAAGUGCCAUGUAAAUUUUUACACGAUUUACCGAAAAUGGGAUUUCUAGAUCCUUCAGCUGCUGAAGACGAUUUAAAAGCCGGCACAAAUGUUGAAAUACCUUUGUGGCUGGCAGAAUCUCUUCAGUCUAGAAGACCUCCCUUGGUCAGUGUAGACUUACCAAAAAUUUACAAAGAUUCUUACAGAGAAAUUCUAAAUGCAGAUGCUUGUACUGUAGACAUGCAUAAAUUAAGUCAAUAUUUUUAUGAAUUGGGCUGCUACAUAGCUAAACAUGAUAUAAAAGGGGAAGUUGCAGCUACAUUAGAAAAUACGUUUAAACAACGAUUUCGAUUGCUGCUUUCGGCGAGUGUGUCUACGGAUACAUUGGGAACCAUGCAGCCUUUAUCAGCCAGUGAACGCAAGCGCGCCGCUGCGGCCGCCAGUACUGAAAACUCGCUGUCUGCGUGGCUCCAGAGAGGAGACUGCCCACUAACUACAGCCAGCAUGGUCGCUAAUCAUAGGAAAAGAAAAAGAGCACAGAUGGAAAUGUUUUAGUUAGGAAAUUAAUUAAGUUUAAGGAUAUUAUGUAAAUAAAUAUUAGUCUAAUUA